GUGAAUCAUCGAAUUUUUGAACGCAAAUUGCGCUCCCUGGUAUCCCGGGAAGUAUGCCUGUUUGAGGGUCAGUAUUAAUAAAAAAUCGGCGUAGUUCCAAAUUGUGAGGUUUCGGGAGUUUGGGCUAUCAUACUAUUUGUGGUUAAGAGGCUUAAAAUAGACCUUUUUUGUGCAUUUUUAC
rnacentral:misc_RNA from 1 species